rnacentral:rRNA from 1 species
GACGAACGCUGGCGGCGUGCUUAACACAUGCAAGUCGAACGAAGUGGCGAACGGGUGAGUAACGCGUAAUCAACCUGCCCUUCAGCGGGGGACAACAGUUGGAAAUGACUGCUAAUACCGCAUACUGUAGGAGGGGGUUGCGUCGGGUUAGCUAGUGGGCGGGGUAACGGCCCACCAAGGCGAUGAUCAGUAGCCGGGCUGGGAGGAUGAACGGCCACAGUGGGACGUGGACACGGCCCAGACUCCUACGGGAGGCAGCAGUGGGUGAUCUUCCGAAAUGGACGAAAGUCUGACGGAGCAACGCCGCGUGAGUGAUGACGGCCUUCGGGUUGUAAAGCUCUGUUAAUCGGGACGCGGUACCGGAAUAGAAAGCCACGGCUAACUACGUGCCAGCAGCCGCGGUAAUAC